CCAAUAGCGUAUAUUAAAGUUGUUGCAGUUAAAAAGCUCGUAGUUGAAUUUCGGGGUUAGUAGGUUGGUCAUGCCUCUGGUAUGUACUGGUCUCACUGAUUCCUCCUUCCUGAUGAGCCGUAAUGCCAUUAAUUUGGUGUUGCGGGGAAUUUGGACUGUUACUUUGAAAAAAUUAGAGUGUUUAAAGCAGGCUGACGCUUGAAUACAUUAGCAUGGAAUAAUGAAAUAGGACGUUCGAUCCUAUUUUGUUGGUUUCUAGGAUUGACGUAAUGAUUAAUAGGGAUAGUUGGGGGCAUUAGUAUUCAAUUGUCAGAGGUGAAAUUCUUGGAUUUAUUGAAGACUAACUACUGCGAAAGCAUUUGCCAAGGAUGUUUUCAUUAAUCAAGAACGAAAGUUAGGGGAUCGAAGACGAUCAGAUACCGUCGUAGUCUUAACCAUAAACUAUGCCGACUAGGGAUCGGAUGAUGUUAAUUUUUUAAUGACUCAUUCGGCGCCUUACG
rnacentral:rRNA from 1 species